GUUCACCACUUUGUGUGUCCAAGGACCACCUACUUUUUACAUGUGACAAGAACUACCCACCUCCACUCUUCAGGAUAGAACAUGCUGAAGAAAAGAGUUGCAAUGAGAAAAUAUAUGGGAACAAAAUACCUAUGCAAUGCAGAAGUCUGCAUAACUGAACCACUCAGAGGAAAAAGUGUUAACUACCCAUCUAUGGCAAAUUAAUUAUGCUCAUUGGAUUAUUUUACUUUUAUUCAAAUUUUGUUAUCUGGUACUUAUUAUAUGGAAUAUGCAAAUCGAAGUCCUGUCCUUCAGCAAUCAAUAAGGUAAAGGAGAAGAAAGACAAAAACGAGUAGAAUUUUAUGAUAAUUUAAGAUACAAACAGACUUUGCUUUGCAUGAGAGUGUGAGACCAUAAAAAUUUACUAUGAAAGCUGAAACUGUGGCAAUAAACCUUAAUAAUCAA
rnacentral:lncRNA from 10 species